AAAUCACAGGAAUAGAAGUAUAAUUAGCAAUAAUUUGUUUCGCCCAUUUCGGUUGUUUCAUGACAUAGGUCAUAGGGGACGCAGGAACAACAAGAACGACAGUGGCGACAUCUAGUAAUGAGUUUUGAAUCUUAUGUUAGUUGCACAGUCGCACAUACAUGACAUUACACGUCGUAACUUUCAUAAGUUACUUAAAAAAAAAUUUAAAGUUAAACAACGGAGAUCGUAUAAUGAGUUAACUGUUUUUAAAUAAUAUCAGCUGAAGUUUUUGUGUACCUGGCCAACUAGGUGCUUGUGACAAUAGAAAUAAAAUGGUCUAAUCC